rnacentral:rRNA from 1 species
CCUACGGGAGGCUGCAGUGGGGAAUAUUGCGCAAUGGGCGAAAGCCUGACGCAGCGACGCCGCGUGAGGGAUGAAGGUCUUCGGAUCGUUAACCUCUGUCAGCAGGGAAGAACGGUCACUGUGCUAAUCAGCAGUGAAUUGACGGUACCUGCAAAGGAAGCACCGGCUAACUCCGUGCCAGCAGCCGCGGUAAUACGGAGGGUGCGAGCGUUAAUCGGAAUUACUGGGCGUAAAGCGCUCGUAGGCGGUAUGUCAAGUCAAGGGUGAAAUCCCCGCGCUCAACGUGGGAACUGCCUUUGAAACUGGCAAACUGGAGUGUGUGAGAGGAUAGUGGAAUGCCAGGUGUAGGAGUGAAAUCCGUAGAUAUCUGGAGGAACAUCAGUGGCGAAGGCGACUAUCUGGCACAUAACUGACGCUGAGGAGCGAAAGCGUGGGUAGCAAACAGGAUUAGAUACCCGUGUAGUC